rnacentral:rRNA from 1 species
AUUGAACGCUGGCGGCAGGCCUAACACAUGCAAGUCGAGCGGAUGAAGGGAGCUUGCUCCUGGAUUCAGCGGCGGACGGGUGAGUAAUGCCUAGGAAUCUGCCUGGUAGUGGGGGAUAACGUCCGGAAACGGGCGCUAAUACCGCAUACGUCCUGAGGUAGAAAGUGGGGGAUCUUCGGACCUCACGCUAUCAGAUGAGCCUAGGUCGGAUUAGCUAGUUGGUGGGGUAAAGGCCUACCAAGGCGACGAUCCGUAACUGGUCUGAGAGGAUGAUCAGUCACACUGGAACUGAGACACGGUCCAGACUCCUACGGGAGGCAGCAGUGGGGAAUAUUGGACAAUGGGCGAAAGCCUGAUCCAGCCAUGCCGCGUGUGUGAAGAAGGUCUUCGGAUUGUAAAGCACUUUAAGUUGGGAGGAAGGGCAGUAAGUUAAUACCUUGCUGUUUUGACAUUACCAACAGAAUAAGCACCGGCUAACUUCGUG